CAUUAAUACAUUACAAAACAAUUUUCAGCCCUGAGGUAACGCAUGAAGUAAAUGUGUAAGAGAGAACCUGUAAUGGAUUAAGAGAAGGAAGGAAGGAAGCUGUGUGUGUAAUGGAGCAGCAGUAGCAUCGGUCCUGGGAUCCUCCUGUAGCAGUAUGUAAAAAAAUACCUGUUUUGCUGAUGCUGUAUUUGUUUCUGAAACAAGAGAAGGGCUUGGUAAAGUGAGAGGUGAAAGACUAUUGUAUAAUUCUGCACAACUGUGACUAAACAAUGUUUUGCUUGACUGUAAGGUUCUGUGUUAUCAUAGAUUACUCAUGGGCUGCUGGCCAAGGCCAUGCAAUGGCUGCACAUCUGCACAGCUAGGACAGAGCAAAGCUCUGUUGCUGCAGCGUAGCAGCUGGGAGUUACUGCAGUAGCUGGGAAUAGCUCAAAAUUCAUCACUAGUGCAACCCAGUAAGGGUGAGUAUCCAACCACAGGUUCUCUGUGCUGUACUGGCUUCUGCGAGCCUCCAGUUGCACAUACCAAAAAAGACAUUUUUACUACACUGUUACAGCU
rnacentral:lncRNA from 1 species